CUUUGAUCCUCGGUCAGACGGAACCGUCCGGGGACCGGUAACACCCGGAAGUCGACCCCGGACGACGGGGACCGGGAGACGGGUGAGUAACCGGUCGGGGGGUCCCGACGGGUCGGGUUAAACCCAGGGAAACUUGGAUUUUAACCCGAUUCCCGUUCGGGGGAAAGAUUUAUCCCGCUUGGAUCAACCCCGGUCUGAUUACGUAGUUGGUGAGGUAAACGGUCACCAACGGGACGAUCAGUACGUGGUCUGAGACGGGGAUCACCGACACUGGGACUGAGACACCCCGGAGACUCCUACGGGACGGACGAGUGGGGUUAAUUGGACACCCGGGGGAACCGUGAUCCACGCCCCCGGGGUGAGUCGGGAACCGGUUAGGGUUGUAAACGUCUUUCCCGGGUGAAGAUACGGACGGUAACCGGAGAAGAACCCCCGGGUAACUUCGUCCGACGACCCGGGGUUUAACGAACGGGGGAACGGUUCGUCGGAAUCACUCGGGGUAAACCGGACGUACGGGGAUCGUUAAGUCAAGGGGUGAAACCGUGACGUCAACUCCAGAACUCCCGUUGAUACUCGGGAUCUUGAGUUCGAGAGAGGUUGGUGGAACUCCGAGUGUAGAGGUGAUUAUCGUAGAUAUUCGGAAGAACACCAGUCCGAUGCCCGGGGAACUCGGUCGAUACUGACCGUGAGGUCGGAAACGGUGGGGACGAAACAGGAUUAGAUACCCUGGUAGUCCACCCGGUAAACCCCGGGGGGUACCGGUUGGGGAGCUUCGUCUUCAGUCCGGGACGUAACCCGUUAACGAUUCCCCGUGGGGAGUACGGUCCGAAGAUUAAAACUCAAAGGUUAUGACCCGCGCGGGGACACAGGGUGGACCGGGUGGUUUUUAUCGAACGAACCCGGAGAACCUUACCACCGUUUGACCCGGGAGGACGACUUCCGGAGACGGAUUUCUUCCACGACGGGACCUCGACACAGGUCGUCCCGGGGUGUCGUCACGUCGUGUCGUGACGGGUUGGGUUAAGUCCCCGAACGACCGGAACCCUCCCGUUUAGUUCCGAUCAUUCAGUUCGGGACUCUAAAGGGACUCCGGGUGAUAACCCGGGAGGAAGGUGGGGAUGACGUCAAGUCCUCCCCCGGGUUACCGGGUCGGGUACACACGUCGUACACCGGGGGUGACACCCGGGGGGGACCGUCGGAGGGUGACGAUUACUCCAAAACCGGUCUCAGUUCGGAUUCGACUCUCGAACUCGAGUCGAUGAAGUUGGUUACCGUAGUUUACGUGGAUCACCCCGGGACGGUGUUAACGUUCCCCCGGGUUGUACACACCCCCGGUCACACCCGGGGAGUUCGGUUUACCCGAACGGGUUCCGGUAACCCGAAGGACGGACGGGACCACGGUAGGGUCAGUGACUGGGGUGAAGUCGUAACAAGGUACCGGUAGGGGAACCUCGUGUGGAUCACCU
rnacentral:rRNA from 1 species